GACGAACGCUGGCGGCGUGCUUAACACAUGCAAGUAGAACGAAGUGGCGCACGGGUGAGUAAUACGUGGGUAACCUGCCCUCCUUUUUAGGGUAAGCCUUUGAAACGGGGUCUAAUACCGAAUCAAGGGGGCUGGGCUCGGGGCCUAUCCGGUUGUUGGUGGGGUGAUGGACUAGCAAAGCGGUGACGGGUAGCAGGCCUGAGAGGGUGACCGGCCACAUAGGGACUGCGAUACGGCCCAGACGCGUACGGGAGGCAGCAGCGGGGGAUAUUGCACAAUGUGGGAAAGACUGACGCAGCGACGCCGCGGGGGGUAUGAAGGCUGUCGGGUUGUAAACCUCGUUCGCGAUCGAACGGGUAGGUGGAGAAGAAGCGCCGGCUAACUACGUGCCAGCAGCCGCGGUAAUAC
rnacentral:rRNA from 1 species